rnacentral:lncRNA from 1 species
CUCGGUCCACUUAUGGUUCGCUGCCCCGCUAUGUGAUGCUUCAUUCCUUCCCCGACUGUUAGUUGACCGAUGAAAUUGUGAAAUAAUAUUAUGAUAGCAGGUUCGGACCGUAAACUCUCCCGACUUAGAAUAAUGCCAAAUCCACCUGUCUCGUGCAUUACGAGUUCCAAUAGGAACCGCUAAGAUCCGUUCUCUGUCCACUUGCCA